GGGCGGUUGGCUCAGCUGGUAGAGCGCUUCCUUCACACGGAAGAGGUCACAGGUUCAAGUCCUGUACCGCCCACCA
rnacentral:tRNA from 1 species